rnacentral:rRNA from 1 species
UUUCCGUAGGUGAACCUGCGGAAGGAUCAUUGACGAAGGCGAGAAUUGUAAAAAGAUUCUCGUUUGAUCAACCACAUUCCAAAAGUGCGAGUAUAGUAAAAAUGGGGAGACCCAUUUACGAUGUAUGUAUUAACAAAACAAAACUUUCAACAACGGAUCUCUUGGCUCUCGCAUCGAUGAAGAACGUAGCGAAGUGCGAUAAGUAAUGUGAAUUGCAGAAUUCCGUGGAUCAUCGAAUUUUUGAACGCAAAUUGCACUUCCUGGCAACCCGGGGAGUAUGCCUGUUUGAGGGUCAGUAUUAAUAAAAAUCGGCGUGUUGCUCUUUUGUGACGUUCCGGAGUUUGGGUCAUCUUAUAACAGGUGUUUUAAGAGGCUUAAAAUUGAUACCUUUUUUGUGCAUUUUUAGACGUACAAUAAAUUCUUUUUAUUCGUUUAUAUUAAUGCCAAAAUAUAUUAGAUGCGAUCAUAUCGUGUGGUACCGUGUCUAUAAAUUUUCAUGAUUUGACCUCAAAUCAGGUAAGAAUACCCGCUGAACUUAA